rnacentral:rRNA from 21 species
GGAAGGAUCAUUACCGAGUU